rnacentral:rRNA from 1 species
GAUGAACGCUGGCGGCGUGCUUAACACAUGCAAGUCGAACGAUGAAGCCCAGCUUGCUGGGUGGCUUAGUGGCGAACGGGUGAGUAACACGUGAGUAACCUGCCCUUAACUCUGGGAUAAGCCUGGGAAACUGGGUCUAAUACCGGAUAGGAGCGUCCACCGCAUGGUGGGUGUUGGAAAGAUUUAUCGGUUUUGGAUGGACUCGCGGCCUAUCAGCUUGUUGGUGAGGUAAUGGCUCACCAAGGCGACGACGGGUAGCCGGCCUGAGAGGGUGACCGGCCACACGGGGAAUGAGACACGGCCCAAACCCCUACGGGGGGGAGGAGGGGGGAAUAUUGCACAAUGGGCGAAAGCCGGAUGCAGGGACGCCGCGGGGGGGAAGACGGCCUUCGGGUUGUAAACCUUUUUCAGGAGGGAAGAAGCAAAAGGGACGGUACCGGCAGAAGAAGCACCGGCUAACUACGU